AAGAUGGCGGCGGCGGCCCUGUGGAAAGGGAGGUUCGCUGCGGUUCAUAGCGGCUGAUUCUCGGCCUGUUCUCCCUUCGUUAGUGCAGCUUUUUAAAACUUUUUUAAAAAAGUUUUAAAAAGGUGAUUGCUCUGUUUCCCUUUCCCGCUUUAUUUCUUUCCUUUCUUUUUUUCCUCCUAAAUGUCCUGCUGGGAAUGUGUGUGGAUUUCUGAAAGCUGCCAGUUUUUAAUGCCAUGGCUUUGAGGGAGCUGAAAGUUUGUCUGCUUGGGGACACGGGUGUUGGUAAAUCCAGCAUUGUUUGGAGGUUUGUGGAAGAUAGUUUUGACCCAAACAUCAAUCCCACAAUCGGGGCUUCUUUUAUGACAAAGACAGUACAAUAUCAAAGCGAGUUGCACAAGUUCCUGAUCUGGGACACAGCUGGUCAGGAGAGGUUCCGUGCUUUAGCGCCAAUGUACUAUCGGGGAUCAGCUGCUGCAAUCAUUGUAUAUGAUAUCACAAAAGAGGAGACUUUACAAACGUUGAAGAACUGGGUGAAGGAACUGCGACAGCAUGGACCUCCAAAUAUAGUUGUAGCAAUUGCAGGAAAUAAAUGUGAUCUUACUGAUGCCAGAGAAGUACUUGAAAAGGAUGCCAAGGAUUAUGCAGAUUCCAUCCAUGCAAUCUUUGUGGAAACUAGUGCCAAAAAUGCCAUUAACAUUAAUGAGUUGUUUGCAGAAAUCAGUCGUCGGAUUCCUUCAACAGCUGUCAACCCACCAACAAACAGCAAAGGAUUCAAGCUAAGGAGACAACCUUCUGACCCAAAACGUAACUGUUGCUGACCUUUUUCCAUGAGUGGACUUCUUCGGAGCAACGUGUAAAAAGAUGGAUGGAUCCCUGUAAAUCCAUCCCUCUUGCAUUCAGCUUUUCUGCUGUGCUCUCCUUGAAGAAAGAGUAAUAGCUGUUCUCAAAAUUAUAAUUCCCUUUUUCCUCAACAAAAGUGCUCUGAGCAACACUUUGACUGCUUGAGUUCCACACUUCGUGUCCAACAGCAGAGAAACCUAUGAACUAGGGAAUAUAUAUAUGGUAUGAUGUUCAACAGGAGUCUGGUACAGAAGUGCAAAACAAAACUUUAUGGGUUUUUUCUUUGUGUGUAGAUAAACUUCAUUAUUGCAUAAAAAGGGAAAUUAUAAAAACUGAAGCACUUUGUUUAGUUUGUGUUUUGUAAUCAACAAUUGGAUUCCCUUUUUAAAAGUACACUUUGUCGCCCCACAGAUUUGCAAUCUGAAGUGAUUCUUGUGUUAAACCUUUUGAACCCACUUUUCAGAAGUGCAUAGCUAAGCACAUUACUACUCCGUACCUGUAACUCUCCAAAAGAGCCUUUUCCGUUUUUGUUUAACGAAGGUACAGUUCAGUCUGUAAAACAACUAUUUGAACUCAAGCUCGUGGGAUUGAAAGGAUCAAAGACACCUCGAUCUCUGUCUGUUAUCCUCUACAGCUGUUCCCUUUGGCCAUUAAGAAUAUCCAAGUGAGAUGAAGUACUGUCAUUUCAAAGAUGGAUGCCAUGUCAUCAUUCUUAAAAUUAACUUGGAAGCUGGGCAGUUUAGUUAUGGAUGCAUAAUAACAAUUGUGGAGAGACUAUCCAAGAACAAGCAAGCACAUGAGGGCAAGAGAUUUCAGUCAUAACUUCAGAGCUGGAUUCCUCUGGGUGUUUUAACAUAAGAGCUCUGCAUGUAGGAAUGUACCAGUGACAGUAGAAAAGGGGGCAAUACAGGACGUGAUGGCAGUGAAGAGUCACCAUCCUAUGUAAUGGUCAAUCACAGUUCAAACUAUGUUAGCUGCAUGUAUGAAAAGUAUUAGUGAGAAAAUCACACCUAGUGACAAUCAGGCCUAACUGGUGUUAGUAACCUGACCUGGGAUAUCUCCAUGACAUGGUUUAGUUUAUUCUGAAAAAUUAGUUGCACAAAAAAUACAAAAGCUGUAAGGAUAGCUGCAUGGUCUUAGCCAUUAACCGAUUCAUGGGUAAUACUUGCCGAUGGCUGAGAUCUUUUUUGAGGCUGACUGCUUGGAGGAACAUUUUAGUAGAAAGCUCAACCGGCCAAGAAAAGGAUCCAGAUAAAACAAGCUAAUGAAUCAUUCAACCUGUGCCUUCGUCUACAACAUGGCUGCCCUGGUAGAAUGGAGUCUUUGAGUGACACUGCAAUGUUGAAGCUCAAGAAUCCCAUCCAAAAUGUCAUGAUCCUACUCUUAAGGUAUGAAUGUAGCAUUUCAGACUGAAGAGUUGCUCAAUCUUCUGUGAUGAGCGGUCAGGAUCGCACUAGCCACCACUAGCAGAUGAUUUCCCUGGCAUGGUAAAGCUGCUUGGUCCCACUUUUUAAUGAAAGGGAAUACUAAGGGAGUAAAUCAGUGAAUAAAUCAGCAUCCUCUGCUCGUCUCCCCAUCAGCUCCAUUCCAUUUUUAUCUAAACAAUUUCAAUUGUCAUUGAUAGGAUUUGCCAAAACCAGAAGUCCACAAUGUUACCGCAGGCUAUAUUGUAACCUUUAAAAGAUUAGGUUGACCACGUAAGUCUUGUUUUUUAAUCAGUAACCUGGUAGAAUGCAGAACUCAAAUUAUUCUCAUGGUCCCAGUAGUCACAAUAUUCCUACUGUUAAGCAGCUUCAGUUGUUCUUUCUAUUUGUACGUCUGGCUUUCUUAACAAAUCUUUGCUUCCACCUUGGUGCCCAUCACCUUUUUUAAAUGCAGUCUCUUUGUGGAAAGGAAAUGUGCACUUUUGAGCCACACAGCUUUUCAGAUUGCCAUUUUAGAAAGUUGGGUUGCGGUGCAUGAAGCAUACUUUUCAACUGUUUGCUCAUCUCCAGUUUUCCAAAUGAUUGGAAAGACUUAAGUUGUUCAUCACUCAUACUGCUAUGACCAGAGGGCACUGAUAUGUGGGCAUUUUUCUUGCAAUGUUGCUACUUUCUAAGUGUCCCUCAAUUUAACUUUCUCCCGUUGAUGUUUGGAUCAGUCUUGUUGUAUCCCAGCAUUUGAUGGCUGACUUUGACCCCUGUCAUAAACCAGUUAGAGAUAAUAAUUAAAACUUGCAAUGCUGAAAGUAGAAUUCAUAUUACAGUUCCAAUUUGAGGUUGUGCUUUCAUCCUUCAUAGAGCAACAUAGGAUUGAGUGUGCCCUAUCAUUUGGAUUGUGUCUCAGUUGUGAUUGGAUCUUUUUCACUAAUAGCACAAGUACCUAACACCUCAGUCCAUCCCCAGCAGCUUUAUAAUAUCUGGCUACACAAUUUCUUGCUAGACUCCAGCUUGAUGCAUGGAAGUUUGGGGUAUCAGCAGGUCAAGUUCUGUCUCACAUUGAUCUAGAUGUAUUUUGCAGCAUUUCUGCCCAAAGUAAGCUUUAGUUUGUUUGGGUGGCUGUUGCAAAUUAAAACUUUGUUACAUAAUCAGUGUUUCAAACUAGGCUGAGUUUAAAAUGUUGGGAGUAAUGUAUUUAUCGAUGUCCCACCCUGAGCUGAGCACCACAGUCAACUUAUGGUUUAAAUCAAGCCUAUCCUUGUGUGAAACAUUUCUGCAUGCUGUUAUAUUUCUGAAUUCAUAAGACAAAGAUGAAGGUGGUGUCUGCAUUUUUCAGGACAAUCUGAGUGCAGAUUGACAUAAUCAAAAUGUUGGGGGAAAAGGAGCUGAUUUGCUGAUUUUUUUUUGUAUUUGGGAAGCAAUCUGGAGUCCAAUAUAUUAUCCUAAUGUAAUAUCUUAAAAAUUGAAUAGCUGUACAUACUUCCUGUAAGCUUUUUACAUUUGUGUCCAUAUCUGUACUAAAGUUGUCUAAAUAAUCUUGCCAUAGUAAAUCUUCACCCCCCCCCCACUCCCCCAGUUUUCCUCUCUAGAGAUGAUGCUUCAAUAUUGCAUUAUUAUAAUUUUCAUAAUCUCUUGGUUGCAGAUCAGAGUUUAUAAUGGUAACAUAACAAUUCUGGCCCCUUUUUACCAGAAACACACAGUUUUUGACUGCCAGUGUGGAAUACCAAAUUACUGCUUAUUAAUUAUAAACAGUGAAUAUUGAAAACUGAACAAAAAUCUGCUCUGAAAUUAUAUCCAUCCGUGCUUUUGAUCCACCAAAGCCUCGUGGUUUUGGAUGCCUUUAAAAUCCUUUUUUUAAAGCAGCAAAUAGUUUGAAGAAAUGUUCACUUAUUAUUAUUGCACUCUACUCGCAUAUGUUCACCUUCAACUGUGCAGAGCAAAGUCAUCCAAAGAUGUGCUGCCAUUUGCUCACCAUACUUAUUGCCUCCAUUUAUUGUGAAGUAUCCAAAAGCACAAGUGGUAGAAGCUGCCCUUAGACCUCAGCUGGCCAGGCCACAGUGUUCCACCCUGAUUAUCCUUGCUGCUGGGCACAGGGACUAUGGGUUUGAACCUAGAGGUAGCAUGAAUUAUAAUAUCAGAAUGCUUCACCACAGAUUGCAUAUUCUGCCUCACCGACAUGUUUCGAUCCAGAGUGUCAUCACUAAUUGAGUCUGUCGUCAACAGGGAAAAUUGAAUAAAGUCAGUAGAUUUAAUAAUGUGCUAAUAUGCCAGAAUUUUGUGCGAUGGCCUGAACUUGUGCAUGAUUCUGCAUUUAAUUUCAGGACAUAAAAGUCAAUGUGCUGUUCACUAGCUGUUGUAGUUAUAUUGUGGAUUCGGUCUCGUGAAGUGUGUUUCUGUUUAAACCAUGGAAUUGACCCUUUCUGCAAUCCCACUACCCAAAUCACGGUCAUGUAUUUUCAUUAGUUUGUUUUUUGCAGUAUGGGCCUGUUUGUACCACUGGUUGUAUACGGCAGAAGGGAGCGGUCAGCAACAGUACUACUAAGGUGCAAAGGGAUUUGCAGUUAAUUUCUUGAAUAGGCCACACGUCUACUGCUAUACAGUUAAAAUUUGUUCUGUCUCUCCAGCUGAUGUUUGACAAGACUCCAAAAUUGUACUGCUAACUUGUUUUUCAUUUGCUGGUUACUGUGGGUAAUUGAUACAGACCUAUUGUUGACGCUGAACUGAAUCCUAGUGACAACACUGGUACAAAUUGAAGUCUGCAACUCAUUUGGCUUUAGUGCAUGAAAUGUUGCCUAGUUACUAGUUGUGAAGAUGACAUUUUGCUAAGCUUAUUCAGAAGGUAGAACCAGACCAUGUAAAACCUGGGCUGGGCCCAGACAAAGGUAACUUGUUAAUCAGUGUACUUAUGUUACUCUAAACACCAGAAAGGCCGGUGUAUAACCUGUGUAAGAUUUCUUGUAGUAAAGAAGUGUAUCACUUGUAUUUUAGUUUGCAACCAGUACAUUUAGUGUAACACAUCAAUACAGAAUAAUUUAAGCCCAGAUUUGCUAAAUACGUAUUUGUUUGUAUAGCUAAUAAUUGCUCAAAUCACUACACCAUUCAUAAUGUAUUUCUAAUGUGCAAGAUAAUGUUGUAUGCAGAUUAUUAAUAAAGUUAAUACAUCUUUGUUUA